rnacentral:rRNA from 1 species
AACCCUUAUCGUUAGUUGCUACCAUUAGGUUGAGCACUCUAGCGAGACUGCCCGGGUUAACCGGGGAGGGAAGGUGGGGAUGACGUCAAAUCAUCAUGCCCCUUAUGUCUAGGGCUACACACGUGCUACAAUGGUGAGGACAAAGAGACGCAAGACCGCGAGGUGGAGCAAAUCUCACAAACCUCAUCCCAGUUCGGAUUGCAGGCUGAAACUCGCCUGCAUGAAGCCGGAGUUGCUAGUAAUCGCGAAUCAGCAUGUCGCGGUGAAUACGUUCCCGGGCCUU